rnacentral:rRNA from 1 species
ACACAUGCAAGUCGAGGGGCAGCAUGAACUUAGCUUGCUAAGUUUGAUGGCGACCGGCGCACGGGUGAGUAACACGUAUCCAACCUGCCGAUGACUCGGGGAUAGCCUUUCGAAAGAAAGAUUAAUACCCGAUGGCAUAGUUCUUCCGCAUGGUAGAACUAUUAAAGAAUUUCGGUCAUCGAUGGGGAUGCGUUCCAUUAGGUUGUUGGCGGGGUAACGGCCCACCAAGCCUUCGAUGGAUAGGGGUUCUGAGAGGAAGGUCCCCCACAUUGGAACUGAGACACGGUCCAAACUCCUACGGGAGGCAGCAGUGAGGAAUAUUGGUCAAUGGACGAGAGUCUGAACCAGCCAAGUAGCGUGAAGGAUGACUGCCCUAUGGGUUGUAAACUUCUUUUAUACGGGAAUAAAGUGAGGCACGUGUGCCUUUUUGUAUGUACCGUAUGAAUAAGGAUCGGCUAACUCCGUGCCAGCAGCCGCGGUAAUACGGAGGAUCCGAGCGUUAUCCGGAUUUAUUGGGUUUAAAGGGAGCGUAGGCGGACGCUUAAGUCAGUUGUGAAAGUUUGCGGCUCAACCGUAAAAUUGCAGUUGAUACUGGGUGUCUUGAGUACAGUAGAGGCAGGCGGAAUUCGUGGUGUAGCGGUGAAACGCUUAGAUAUCACGAAGAACUCCGAUUGCGAAGGCAGCCUGCUGGACUGUAACUGACGCUGAUGCUCGAAAGUGUGGGUAUCAAACAGGAUUAGAUACCCUGGUAGUCCACACAGUAAACGAUGAAUACUCGCUGUUUGCGAUAUACAGUAAGCGGCCAAGCGAAAGCGUUAAGUAUUCCACCUGGGGAGUACGCCGGCAACGGUGAAACUCAA